GGAGUUUUGUGAAAUGUAGAUUCUACUUCAAGAGGUCUGGGGUGAGACCUGAGGUUUUGCAUUUCUAACAAGGACCC
rnacentral:miRNA from 1 species